rnacentral:rRNA from 1 species
UACGUAGGGACCGAGCGUUGUCCGGAAUUAUUGGGCGUAAAGAGCUCGUAGGCGGCCUGUCGCGUCGGAUGUGAAAGCCCGGGGCUUAACCCCGGGUCUGCAUUCGAUACGGGCAGGCUAGAGUGUGGUAGGGGAGAUCGGAAUUCCUGGUGUAGCGGUGAAAUGCGCAGAUAUCAGGAGGAACACCGGUGGCGAAGGCGGAUCUCUGGGCCAUUACUGACGCUGAGGAGCGAAAGCGUGGGGAGCGAACAGG